rnacentral:snRNA from 1 species
GUGCUCGCUUCGGCAGCACAUAUGCUAAAAUUGGAACGAUUAGCAAUACCCCUGAGCAAGGAUGACACGCAAAUUCAUGAAGCGUUCCAUAUUUUU